rnacentral:rRNA from 12 species
ACGGCCAAACCUGAUGAAUGCCUGAUCCCGUCUGAUCUCGGAAGCUAAGCAGGGUCGUUCCUGGUCAGAAACUGGUUGGAUAACCAGUGGGUUGUGUCAGGAAGGGCGUU